GGGUUCGACUAAGCCAUGCAAGUCAUAUGUUCCUCGUGAACAUGGCAUACUGCUCAGUAACACGUGGAUAACCUGCCCUUGGGUCUGGGAUAACCCCGUGGAAACUGGGGGAUAAUAUCGGAUAACGCAUAUGUGCUGGAAUGCUUUAUGCGUAAAACGGAUUCGUCCGCCCAAGGAUGGGUCUGCGGCCUAUCAGGUAGUAGUGGGUGUAAUGUACCUACUAGCCAACAACGGGUACGGGUUGUGAGAGCAAGAGCCCGGAGAUGGAUUCUGAGACAUGAAUCCAGGCCCUACGGGGCGCAGCAGGCGCGAAAACUUUACAAUGCGGGAAACCGUGAUAAGGGAACACCGAGUGCCAGCAUCAUAUGCUGGCUGUCCAGAUGUGUAAACUACAUCUGUUAGCAAGGGCCGGGCAAGACCGGUGCCAGCCGCCGCGGUAACACCGGCGGCCCGAGUGGUGACCGUUAUUAUUGGGUCUAAAGGGUCCGUAGCCGGUUUGGUCAGUCCUCCGGGAAAUCUGAUAUCUUAACUGUUAUGCUUUCGGGGGAUACUGCCA
rnacentral:rRNA from 1 species